GCCCCCGUUGUCUAAUGGUUAUGACGUCAGACUUCUAUCUGUUCAGUACCCGUAGGGAUCUGGAGGUUGCGGGUUCGAGUCCCGCCGGGGGUU